CAGCCUGAUCCAGCCAUGCCGCGUGAGUGAUGAAGGCCCUAGGGUUGUAAAGCUCUUUUACCGGUGAAGAUAAUGACGGUACCCGGAGAAUAAGCCCCGGCUAACUUCGUGCCAGCACCGCGGUAAUAC
rnacentral:rRNA from 1 species